rnacentral:rRNA from 1 species
AGUGAACGCUGGCGGUAGGCCUAACACAUGCAAGUCGAACGGCAGCACAGUAAGAGCUUGCUCUUACCGGUGGCGAGUGGCGGACGGGUGAGGAAUACAUCGGAAUCUACUUUUUCGUGGGGGAUAACGUAGGGAAACUUACGCUAAUACCGCAUACGACCUACGGGUGAAAGCAGGGGAUCUUCGGACCUUGCGCGAUUGAAUGAGCCGAUGUCGGAUUAGCUAGUUGGCGGGGUAAAGGCCCACCAAGGCGACGAUCCGUAGCUGGUCUGAGAGGAUGAUCGGCCACACUGGAACUGAGACACGGUCCAGACUCCUACGGGAGGCAGCAGUGGGGAAUAUUGGACAAUGGGCGCAAGCCUGAUCCAGCCAUACCGCGUGGGUGAAGAAGGCCUUCGGGUUGUAAAGCCCUUUUGUUGGGAAAGAAAAGCAGCAGGUUAAUACCCCGCUGUUCUGACGGUACCCAAAGAAUAAGCACCGGCUAACUUCGUG